AGAGUUUGAUCAUGGCUCAGAUUGAACGCUGGCGGCGUGCCUAACACAUGCAAGUCGAGCGGCAGCGCGGGAGCAAUCCUGGCGGCGAGCGGCGGACGGGUGAGCAAUAUUUGGGAAUCUGCCUAUUAGUGGGGGACAACCCGGGGAAACUCGGGCUAAUACCGCAUACGCACUACGGUGGAAAGCCGGGGACCGCAAGGCCUGGCGCUAAUAGAUGAGCCCAAAUCGGAUUAGCUAGUUGGUGAGGUAAUGGCUCACCAAGGCUACGAUCCGUAGCUGGUCUGAGAGGACGACCAGCCACACCGGAACUGAGACACGGUCCGGACUCCUACGGGAGGCAGCAGUGGGGAAUAUUGGACAAUGGGCGAAAGCCUGAUCCAGCGACGCCGCGUGGGUGAAGAAGGCCUGCGGGUUGUAAAGCCCUUUCGGUGGGGAAGAAAAGCCUCGACUUAAUACGUUGGGGUCUUGACGUAACCCAAGAAAGAAGCACCGGCUAACUCUGUGCCAGCAGCCGCGGUAAUACAGAGGGUGCGAGCGUUAAUCGGAAUUACUGGGCGUAAAGCGCGCGUAGGCGGCUUUGCAAGUCGAGUGUGAAAUCCCCAGGCUUAACCUGGGAACUGCUCUCGAGACUGCAUAGCUAGAGUAUGGGAGAGGGAAGUGGAAUUUCAGGUAGCGGUGAAAUGCGUAGAUAUCUGAAGGAACAUCAGUGGCGAAAGCGACUUCCUGGACCAAUACUGACGCUCAUGUGCGAAAGCGUGGGGAGCAAACAGGAUUAGAUACCCUAGUAGUCC
rnacentral:rRNA from 1 species